GUCCGUUGUGAUAUAAAAUAGUUUUGCAAGCGGCCAGAGCUUGAGCUGAAGGAAAUUGGGGUUAAAUUGGUAAAGCCUAAGGUAACUUACAUGUUGCCACCAGUUUAAGUCAAGGAGGUGUGUGUAUGGGUUAAGCAAUUGAAGUUUUCGGAUGGAUAUGUGUUGAAUAUAGCUCGAGGGGUUAAUGUGGUCAAAGGCAAAAUACAUAGCAUAAAG
rnacentral:lncRNA from 1 species